GACGUAGGAGGCAAGCGUUAUCCGGAUUCACUGGGCGUAAAGGGCAAGUAGGCGGUCGCAAAAGUUGGGCGUGACAGUUCUCGGCAUAACUGAGAGAGGUCGCUCAAAACUAGGCGACUAGAGGGCAGGAGAGGAAAGUGGAACUCCCAAAGUAGCGGUGGAAUGCUCAGAUAUUGGGAAGAACACCAGUGGCGAAGGCGGCUUUCUGGCCUGCACCUGACGCUGAGAGGCGAAAGCUAGGGGAGCGAAC
rnacentral:rRNA from 1 species